rnacentral:rRNA from 1 species
AGAGUUUGAUCCUGGCUCAGGGCUAACGCUGGUGGUAUGCCUCAGACAUGCAAGUCGAACGAGAAAGUGCCCGCAAGGGUGCGAGUACAGUGGCGGACGGGUGAGUAAUACGUGGGUGACCUACCCUUAAGUUGGGGAUAUCUUACUUAAUAGUUUGGUAAUCCCAUAUACUAUAGCGGCGAGGGAUCGCUGUUAUGAAAGGUGGCUCCGCAAGGAGCUGUCGCUUUUGGAGGGGCCCGCGGUCUAUUAGCUAGUUGGUAGGGUAACGGCCUACCAAGGCGACGAUGGAUAGCCGGCCUGAGAGGGCGAACGGCCACACUGGGAUUGAGAUACGGCCCAGACUCCUACGGGAGGCAGCAGUCGGGAAUUUUGGGCAAUACCCGCAAGGGUGACCCAGCGAUACCACGUGAGCGAUGAAGUUCUUUGGAAUGUAAAGCUCUGUCAGGGGAUGAGAAAAGGAUACGGUGAACAGCCGGAUCCGUUGACUAUCCCCAGAGGAAGCUCCGGCCAACUCCGUGCCAGCAGCCGCGGUAAUACGGGGGGAGCGAGCGUUGCCCGGAAUCACUGGGCGUAAAGAGUGUGUAGGCGGAUAUGUAGGUCAAGCGUGAAAUCUUCCGGCUAAACCGGGAAAUUGCGCUUGAAACCGCAUUUCUUGAGUAUGAGAGAGGAGCAUGGAAUUCCAGGUGUAGCGGUGAAAUGCGUAGAUAUCUGGAAGAACACCGGUUGCGAAGGCUAUUCUCUAUCUCAAUACUGACGCUGUGACACGAAAGCCAGGGGAGCAAACAGGAUUAGAUACCCUGGUAGUCCUGGCCGUAAACGAUGGAUACUAGGUGUUGGAGGAGUCAACCCCUUCAGUGCCGAAGCUAACGCAUUAAGUAUCCCGCCUGAGGAGUACGAUCGCAAGAUUGAAACUCAAAGGAAUUGACGGGGGCCUGCACAAGCGGUGGAGCAUGUGGUUCAAUUCGAUUCCAACGCGAAAAACCUUACCGGGGUUUGACAUGGGAGCCCCCUUCGGGGGGUUAAUCCGGUGAAAGCCGGGUGUGUCCACACAGGUGCUGCAUGGCUGUCGUCAGCUCGUGUCGUGAGAUGUUAGGUUAAGUCCUGCAACGAGCGCAACCCUUGUUCUUAGUUGCCAUCAGGUCAAGCUGGGCACUCUAAGGAGACUGCCGAUCAUAAAUCGGAGGAAGGUGGGGAUGACGUCAAGUCCUCAUGGCCUUUAUAUCCCGGGCUACACACGUGCUACAAUGGUCCGUACAAUGGGAUGCAAAAUCGCAAGAUGGAGCCAAUCCCCCAAAGCGGGCCUCAGUUCGGAUUGAAGUCUGCAAUUCGACUUCAUGAAGUUGGAAUCGCUAGUAAUCGCGGAUCAGCAUGCCGCGGUGAAUAUGUUCCCAGGCCUUGUACACACCGCCCGUCAAGUCAACCGAAUUGAAUGCACCCGAAGAUCCACGUUAGUGGGUCGAAGGUGUGUUCAGUGAGAGGGACUAAGUCGGAACAAGGUAGCCGUACGGGAA